CACUCUACCUCUGUCUCCUUUUAAAAACUCACUCGUCCCACCCCUCCGUGAAGUACAGCUGAGCUGACGGUGUACAAACUAUAUCCCAACAUAGGGCCUACUGCACAGUGAACUCCAAAAACAGCGAUGAAAAAGUAGGCCCAUCUAAACGUCUGUGUGAAUGCGUGCAU